UCCCCCGUCCAUGGGACUUUUCAGGCAAGAGGACUGGAGUGGGGCGCCAUUGCCUCCUCCGCAGUAUUGGUGAGGCACGGUAAAGGGAAAAAGCAAAAACAGCAUUUCAGGCAUGGGUGAUCCCUGAAAUUCUAUGCAUCCUUCUAUAUUAUUUUUACAACAAAUCACAAGCUUUAUUAAAUGAAGCUCUGAAUAUUCCAAAUAGAUGAACCUUUAGUAUAUUCCUUAAUGUGCAUGAAAUGUAAUGUGUGUACUUCUUUGGUCCCUGAACAUACUUCAAUCUUUGGGUUCUCCUUUUCUCCCAGAUUUAGCUUUCCUGACUCAAGUCAGGUUCUCUCAUUUUAAGUAUCUCACUCCAUAUCCAACCCUUUUACCACAUUCAUAUGCACCAUCAUGAAACAGUAGCUUAAAUGCAUCAUGGUCAUAUGUGGUUUGUUUAAUCAUCUGUGUCACAAAGCUAACUGAAAACUCAUCAUCAAAAUGCUGUUAUAUUUAUGCCAAAACACAACUCCAGCCCUUUAUACUCUAGCACUAUGUGGACCCUAAGUAAGAUGAUCAUAUAAUAAAGGCAAAACAGACCAUAAAACAUACCUGGAGCUGUUGUUCAAGAGGUUUCAUACUUCCUGUGCCACUGUAACCAUAAACUCUAAAAUUAUGAGGAGAUUUAACUUCCCACAAAGAGAAAGGUGAGGUGAAGAUGGAGCAGAGAGAGAUUUGAAAGAUGCUGGCCCUGAAGAUUCAAAUGAUAAGGUCACAGGCCAAGGGAAGCUGGCAACCACCAGAAGCAGGGAGGAGUGGAAGACACACUAUGCCUCCCCCAGGGAGCCGAGUCCUGCUGACAUCUUAAUUUUGUCUCAGUGAUGCUAAUUUCAGAAAUCUGGCCUCCAAAACUGUGAGACAAUACAUUUCUGUUAUUGUAAUCCA